rnacentral:lncRNA from 1 species
UCAAAGUACAACCCCCCAAAAGCGGCCAUCAGUUGCGGAAGUUCGCCAAGGUGUGCAGCGAUGAGCCUGCUGGCCCCUUCAUAUUCUCGCCCUUCUCAUCUCUCACGAACGCCGUGGCCAAACCGGCCAAUACUUUCGACUUCCAGUGGGUGGAAGGAGACGUCUGCGAGGUUGUCCUACAGUUUGACAAUAUCCUCUCACUUCCUCUGCAACUCUCCAACAUCAGGCUGCUAAGUGAAGGCGUGUGUCACUUUGAGUCGUGGAGCAGCAGCGUCGUGCUGGAGGCUGAGAGUAGCUGUAGUGUCACUGUUAGAGGACAGCCCACCACCCCUGGCCAGCUCAAAAUUACUG